UAAGGAAUAUUGGACAAUGGACGCAAGUCUGAUCCAGCCAUGCCGCGUGAAGGAUGAAUGCCCUCUGGGUUGUAAACUUCUUUUACAGGGGAAGAAAGUUAUCUUUUUUAGGAUAUUUGACGGUACCCUAUGAAUAAGCACCGGCUAACUCCGUGCCAGCAGCCGCGGUAAUACGGAGGGUGCAAGCGUUAUCCGGAUUCACUGGGUUUAAAGGGUGCGUAGGCGGGUAUGUAAGUCAGUGGUGAAAUACCGGAGCUUAACUUCGGAACUGCCAUUGAUACUAUAUAUCUUGAAUAUUGUGGAGGUAAGCGGAAUAUGUCAUGUAGCGGUGAAAUGCUUAGAGAUGACAUAGAACACCGAUUGCGAAGGCAGCUUGCUACGCAAAUAUUGACGCUGAGGCACGAAAGCGUGGGGAUCAAACAGG
rnacentral:rRNA from 1 species